AACCCUGGGCAACAGACAAGGAGACACCUUGUUGGUGGUGUUGAUCUUAAAUCUAUCAGUCAGGGGCAGAGCAGAUGGCAGUCCUUUGUUCAUCCUAGCUCGAUGCCUGGCUUGGUGGCCAAAGCUGUUCCAUGCCUAAGGCACAUUU